rnacentral:rRNA from 1 species
CCUACGGGUGGCAGCAGUGAGGAAUAUUGGUCAAUGGACGAGAGUCUGAACCAGCCAAGUAGCGUGAAGGAUGACUGCCCUAUGGGUUGUAAACUUCUUUUAUAUGGGAAUAAAAUGUUCCACGUGUGGGAUUUUGUAUGUACUAUAUGAAUAAGGAUCGGCUAACUCCGUGCCAGCAGCCGCGGUAAUACGGAGGAUCCGAGCGUUAUCCGGAUUUAUUGGGUUUAAAGGGAGCGUAGGUGGGUUGUUAAGUCAGUUGUGAAAGUUUGCGGCUCAACCGUAAAAUUGCAGUUGAUACUGGCAGUCUUGAGUACAGUAGAGGUGGGCGGAAUUCGUGGUGUAGCGGUGAAAUGCUUAGAUAUCACGAAGAACUCCGAUUGCGAAGGCAGUUCACUGAACUGCAACUGACACUGAUGCUCGAAAGUGUGGGUAUCAAACAGGAUUAGAUACCCUUGUAGUC